rnacentral:rRNA from 1 species
GACGAACGCUGGCGGCGUGCUUAACACAUGCCAGUCGAACGGAAAGUCCCUGCUUUUGUGGGGUGCUCGAGUGGCGAACGUGUGAGUAACACGUUUGUAACCUGCCCUUGACUUUGGGUUACCUUCAGGAAACUGGUGCUCAUACCGGCUAGGUGCUCCUGCUGCAUUGUGGGGGUUGGAACGCUUCGGCGGUUUGGAUUGCACUCGCGACUUCUCAGCUUGUUGGUGGGGUAGUGGCUUACCAAGGCUUUUACGGGUAGCCGGCCUGGGAGCUUGACCGGACACAUCUGGACUGUGAUCCGGCCCAAGCAACUACGGGAGGCAGCAGGGGGGAAGAGUGAACGAUGGACGGAACACUAAUGCAGGAACGCCGCGUGCGGGAUGACGGCCUUCGGGUUGUGGACCGCUUUCGCCGGCGACGAUGCGUGAGUGGCGGGAAUGAGUAAAGAAGAACCGGCUAACUACGUG